rnacentral:lncRNA from 1 species
UUGAAUACAUAAUUGUUAAUGGUUAUUAGACUUUUAAUUCAAUAAGUUACAUAAUCCAAGCACACAUUUGUCUUUAAAAAAAAACCCAAUGUAAUUACAGUGAAAUUUGCUACAAAUGGGAAUAGGUUUCUAAUGACCAAAACCAAGCAAUUAGGAUGAAAUCACUUUGGACUUAGUCACGAAAACAGGUUGUCUUGAAGCUUGUAGCAUCCACUUUCCAUUACAUCAAGUCUCUUCAAACCUGUAAUCUGCAGAAAACAAAAAUAGCUUAUUUUAAAAGCACUUUUCAAAAGCACUUAGAAAGCUGAAAAACAACUAAAUGAAUCAUUCAGUUUGAAGCUUAAGUUUGAAGCUUUAUCCAUAAGGUUAAUCUAAAUAUCCAAAAAGCACUUUUAACAUUAGCUUAAAACAGAAAAAACCAAAUCCCACAUAAUCUGGGAUGAGACAA